CAAUAGCGUAUAUUAAAGUUGUUGCAGUUAAAAAGCUCGUAGUUGGAUUUCUGGUGGGAGCGAUCGGUCUGGCGCUUAGCGCGAGUACUUGCAUCGUCUCCGGCCAUCCUUGGGGAGAGUCUGUCUGGCAUUAGGUUGUCGGGCAGAGGAUCCUCAUCGUUUACUGUGAAAAAAUUAGAGUGUUCAAAGCAGGCUUAUGCCGUUGAAUAUAUUAGCAUGGAAUAAUAAGAUAGGACUUUGGUACUAUUUUGUUGGUUUGCGCACCAAAGUAAUGAUUAAUAGGGACAGUUGGGGGUAUUCGUAUUCCGUUGUCAGAGGUGAAAUUCUUGGAUUUACGGAAGACGAACUACUGCGAAAGCAUUUACCAAGGAUUUUUUCAUUAA
rnacentral:rRNA from 1 species